AUUUUUGUAAAAAAAAUUUCCAUCAAUAUUUUUUGUUAUCUAUUUUAAUAUGUAUAAAUAUUUUUAAAAAUAAUACUUAUCUUAGAAUAUGCAUUUUUUGUGGUUUGACUUCUUUGUUUCUGCAGCUUUGUCUUGACAACAUCAUCAGCUUUUAACCUUUUUUUAACAGUUUUUUUUUUUCAUUUGCUUAGUAUAAAAACUAUCAAAUUUUGUCAAAGCCUAAAAAUUUUUUGUCAAAUAACAUAGAUACUCAAAUAUAUGUGUUAAGCUUUAUUUUCAUUAUUAUCAACUGGUCUCAUUUAAUCAUAAUGAUUUAAGUCUUGUGACUUUUUUAUUUUUAAAACUUCCUUUUUUCUUUCAUAACUUAUCACUUGUAGUUGCAUUUAAAGAGUGCGAUCGAGAUUUUUGUAGUAUGAAUAUUUAUUUUUGUAUUGCUAAAAAAAAAAUCAUGGAAGCAAACCUGCGACUGAUGCCCAUACUAUAUUACUAAACUAAUCAAAUGGAUGAAACAGAUAUCAACUACAGAAUUUUUGAAAAUAUAUCUCUGACUUUAGAACAACCUAAAAUCAUCAAAUGUUAUGGAUAAAAAAAAUUUCCCUCUUUUUAAGUAAUCAAUGACCAUUAUAUUACUUGACUAGUAUUGUUGCCAAAUAUUCUAAUUCCCAACUACUACACUUUUCUUUUCCUCUUCCCCAAAUCAUUGAAAGUGUUCAGCAUUGAAAAUAUGUGAUCUAUUCAAAAUAGGCCACAUGUGUUGAAGCUGUAGUUUUAUCAUGUCUGCAACAUUGUAAAAAAUGUUUUUUGAUAAAGUGCUUUUUGUGCUAUGGAAUUUAAUACUCAGCGCAAAUGCAUUUAAAUAUUAAGCCUCAAUUUUAAGGCAAAUUUUCGCAUCAGAAGUUUCAAAUGUUCAUCAUGAUCAGUUCAGAUGAUAAAUUGAGUUAAUAUAUAAAUUAAUAAAUAAAGUAAUUGUCUUGACUAUAUUUUUUUUCAUAAUCAUUUAACUGUUAGAUAUUUAUAAUCUUUUAGUUGUAGAGUUGUAGUUAGAUCUUUUUGUUGUAGAUUUUUAUAAAAUUAUUUGGAGAAAACAUAUUUUUACUGAAGUUAAAAAAAUCUGCUUCUCUCAAUUGUAUACUCGCGCAGGUUUUGAAGAACAUUUAAAAUAUUUUAUUGAUGUUAUUGAAUCUGCAUAAUAAUGAUAAGAAAAGCUUUUACAUCUGUAAGUUCAAAUACAUUGAGCUAUUAUACAAUGCAUGAAAUAAAAAAAAAUUUAUUUCUUUAGUUUUUAUCAUUUUUGAAAAGUUAAUAUUUUUGAACUAUAUUCUAUUAACUUUUCAGUCUUCUAAUAAAAGUAUUUGUUGAUUACUAACAUUGCUAUUAUUGAUUUCUUUAGGACUACUACAGAGACUACGAUGUAAAAACUGUUCCUUGUGUUUUCCCUCCCAAGUUACCCUUUCAAAACAUAGAAUGUGGCAUCAUAAAGAAUACUUCCCAUUCUUCAAAUUCAACUGUGAGCUUUGUCCAUAUUCAACUCACAAUGGAACAAAUUUUAAAAAGCAUGCAUCUGUGCAUGAUGCUAGAAGACCUUAUCUGUGUCAUAUUUGUGGUUGCCAUAGUGGAUUCCCUUGCAGACUUUGUAAUCUAUGGUUUGCCACCUCAACAACCUUAUCAAGGCAUGCAAUGUGGCACCAUGAUUCCUUUGGAAAAUACAGAUACAGCUGUGAUCUAUGUCCUUAUUCCACAAACAUUAAAUGCAACUU